GAGGGUAUAGCUCAAGUGGUAGAGCACAUGCUUAGCAUACAUGAGGUCCUGGGUUCAAUCCACAGUAUCUCCU
rnacentral:tRNA from 1 species